rnacentral:tRNA from 1 species
GCCGACGUAGCUCAGCUGGUAGAGCAACCGCCUUGUAAGCGGUAGGUCGUCAGUUCAAACCUGACCGUCGGCU